GGGCCCGCACAAGCGGUGGAGCAUGUGGUUUAAUUCGAUGCAACGCGAAGAACCUUACCAAGGCUUGACAUACUACAAAUUUCUUUGAAAGAGGAAAGUGCCUUCGGGAAUGUAGAUACAGGUGGUGCAUGGCUGUCGUCAGCUCGUGUCGUGAGAUGUUGGGUUAAGUCCCGCAACGAGCGCAACCCUUAUUUUUAGUUGCUAAUUUAUUAGGUUUUCUAGAAAGACUGCCGGUGCAAACCGCGAGGAAGGUGGGGAUGACGUCAAAUCAUCACGGCCCUUACGUCCUGGGCUACACACGUGCUACAAUGGCCGGUACAGAGGGCAGCCACACCGCAAGGUGGAGCG
rnacentral:rRNA from 1 species